rnacentral:rRNA from 1 species
AUAGGUUAAUGAGGCGAACCGGGGGAACUGAAACAUCUAAGUACCCCGAGGAAAAGAAAUCAACCGAGAUUCCCCCAGUAGCGGCGAGCGAACGGGGAGCAGCCCAGAGCCUGAAUCAGUGUGUGUGUUAGUGGAAGCGUCUGGAAAGGCGCGCGAUACAGGGUGACAGCCCCGUACACAAAAAUGCACAUGCUGUGAGCUCGAUGAGUAGGGCGGGACACGUGGUAUCCUGUCUGAAUAUGGGGGGACCAUCCUCCAAGGCUAAAUACUCCUGACUGACCGAUAGUGAACCAGUACCGUGAGGGAAAGGCGAAAAGAACCCCGGCGAGGGGAGUGAAAAAGAACCUGAAACCGUGUACGUACAAGCAGUGGGAGCACGCUUAGGCGUGUGACUGCGUACCUUUUGUAUAAUGGGUCAGCGACUUAUAUUCUGUAGCAAGGUUAACCGAAUAGGGGAGCCGAAGGGAAACCGAGUCUUAACUGGGCGUUAAGUUGCAGGGUAUAGACCCGAAACCCGGUGAUCUAGCCAUGGGCAGGUUGAAGGUUGGGUAACACUAACUGGAGGACCGAACCGACUAAUGUUGAAAAAUUAGCGGAUGACUUGUGGCUGGGGGUGAAAGGCCAAUCAAACCGGGAGAUAGCUGGUUCUCCCCGAAAGCUAUUUAGGUAGCGCCUCGUGAAUUCAUCUCCGGGGGUAGAGCACUGUUUCGGCAAGGGGGUCAUCCCGACUUACCAACCCGAUGCAAACUGCGAAUACCGGAGAAUGUUAUCACGGGAGACACACGGCGGGUGCUAACGUCCGUCGUGAAGAGGGAAACAACCCAGACCGCCAGCUAAGGUCCCAAAGUCAUGGUUAAGUGGGAAACGAUGUGGGAAGGCCCAGACAGCCAGGAUGUUGGCUUAGAAGCAGCCAUCAUUUAAAGAAAGCGUAAUAGCUCACUGGUCGAGUCGGCCUGCGCGGAAGAUGUAACGGGGCUAAACCAUGCACCGAAGCUGCGGCAGCGACACUAUGUGUUGUUGGGUAGGGGAGCGUUCUGUAAGCCUGUGAAGGUGUACUGUGAGGUAUGCUGGAGGUAUCAGAAGUGCGAAUGCUGACAUAAGUAACGAUAAAGCGGGUGAAAAGCCCGCUCGCCGGAAGACCAAGGGUUCCUGUCCAACGUUAAUCGGGGCAGGGUGAGUCGACCCCUAAGGCGAGGCCGAAAGGCGUAGUCGAUGGGAAACAGGUUAAUAUUCCUGUACUUGGUGUUACUGCGAAGGGGGGACGGAGAAGGCUAUGUUGGCCGGGCGACGGUUGUCCCGGUUUAAGCGUGUAGGCUGGUUUUCCAGGCAAAUCCGGAAAAUCAAGGCUGAGGCGUGAUGACGAGGCACUACGGUGCUGAAGCAACAAAUGCCCUGCUUCCAGGAAAAGCCUCUAAGCAUCAGGUAACAUCAAAUCGUACCCCAAACCGACACAGGUGGUCAGGUAGAGAAUACCAAGGCGCUUGAGAGAACUCGGGUGAAGGAACUAGGCAAAAUGGUGCCGUAACUUCGGGAGAAGGCACGCUGAUAUGUAGGUGAAGUCCCUCGCGGAUGGAGCUGAAAUCAGUCGAAGAUACCAGCUGGCUGCAACUGUUUAUUAAAAACACAGCACUGUGCAAACACGAAAGUGGACGUAUACGGUGUGACGCCUGCCCGGUGCCGGAAGGUUAAUUGAUGGGGUCAGCGCAAGCGAAGCUCUUGAUCGAAGCCCCGGUAAACGGCGGCCGUAACUAUAACGGUCCUAAGGUAGCGAAAUUCCUUGUCGGGUAAGUUCCGACCUGCACGAAUGGCGUAAUGAUGGCCAGGCUGUCUCCACCCGAGACUCAGUGAAAUUGAACUCGCUGUGAAGAUGCAGUGUACCCGCGGCAAGACGGAAAGACCCCGUGAACCUUUACUAUAGCUUGACACUGAACAUUGAGCCUUGAUGUGUAGGAUAGGUGGGAGGCUUUGAAGUGUGGACGCCAGUCUGCAUGGAGCCGACCUUGAAAUACCACCCUUUAAUGUUUGAUGUUCUAACGU